rnacentral:misc_RNA from 1 species
UAUUGAAUUUAUUAAUUUUCUUCUUUGAAGUUUAGAUACGUUUAAUAUAAUCGUAUCUCUUUUUGUUUCCGUUUUAUACUGAAAAUUGUAUCUUAUACUCUUCUAUCGUGUGACAUGUUUCAGAGCUUCAAGGCGUCUUUCAAUCUACAAUUCUAUUUCAUUGUCACUAAAAAUAUAAAUUUGUACCGUAAUAAUUAGUCACUCUGAUAAUUCCAGUUCUUGAAACUUACACAUUUUUUCGUUGGAAAAUAAAUAU